CUUUAUGAAUUCAUUAGACGUGAAAUACUGAAAAUACCUGAUAUGGUGCAGGGUUGUCAAAUAAUCCUCCAAGAAAAUGAGUACACAAAUAAAAUGUAACUCCUUUCAACGGUUUCAAGUAUACAGCAGGAACAGUGAACCCUGUACACAGUGCACACAAAAUACCACGUUCUGGUUUUACUGUACUGCCGAAAAAAAAUCACUUAACACCACAGCCUCGAAAAAAUUGAUUUGUAUUCAUUGAUAUAUUACAUUAUUAAUCCGAUACGGACAGAAAUAAACUGUGGACAGUCCAGCGCUGACGGGCUGGAGACUAGUUUACAUUAAUGCAGGCACAUCUGGAGAAACUAUAGGCCCUUGGUCAAGAAAUAGGUUUGAAGUUUGAAAAGUGCUCUGGUUCAUGCUCUGAACAUACAUACAUAUGUACAUAUGUAUGUAUUUAUAUGCUUAUGUGCGACAAAAUGCACACACACAGCCCUGGAGAAAGUCAGUUCUGUGGAAGAUUCGAGAGAAGUUUAGUCUGCGCCGUGGGGCUUUCUGGCCCAGUGCCUGAGCCACGGCUUUGCUUUCCAAACUGCAAAUUCAGCAUCUAGCCAAUUUAGAAGACUUAUGGCCCGAACAAAGCGAUUGUUUGCCAACUUUGCAGACACUCCGAAGUGGAAAAACAAUGGAGGCCGACGCUAGCGACGACGACGACGACAACGACAACGGCUUGGUGCUGCCAACUGAUGCGGCAAAUGAGCGGCGGAUAGCAAUUUGCCCGCCGGACACGUAAGCGGCGCAGAUUUUCAGCAAAAAGCAUGACACAAAAGCAGCAAAAUAUAAUUAGUCGAGUCGUGAUAAAAACGGAGAACAGCAGAGACGAAAAAACCGUACGAAAAUACAUUUUAGAGGCCUGUUUUUGCGUUGUUUUUGUUUUUUUUUUGGCUUUGCGGAGCGAAACGUUCAAUUAGCGUUCAAAGGCGAUGUUGCCACUUUUCAGUUCGGCACGAAAACAACGAGAAGAAAUUUUCCGCGCUUUCGGAAGUCUCUCUCUCUCUCUCUCCCGCUCUUGGUUGUCGCUCGUUUGCUCUCUCACCACUC